CUACGGGACGCUCCAGUGAGGAAUAUUGCACAAUGGGGGGAACCCUGAUGCAGCAACGCCGCGUGGAGGAUGACGCAUUUCGGUGUGUAAACUCCUUUUAUAUGUCAAGAAAAUGACGGUAGCAUAUGAAUAAGCACCGGCUAACUCCGUGCCAGCAGGCCGCGGUAAUACGGAGGGUGCAAGCGUUACUCGGAAUCACUGGGCGUAAAGGACGCGUAGGCGGGUUGGAAAGUCAGGUGUGAAAUCCUACAGCUUAACUGGAGAACUGCACUUGAAACUUCUAAUCUAGAGUAUGGGAGGGGGAGAUGGAAUUAGUGGUGUAGGGGUAAACUCCGUAGAUAUCACUAGGAAUACCUAAAGCGAAGGCGAUCUCCUGGAACAUUACUGACGCUAAGGCGUGAAAGCGUGGGGAGCAAACAGGAUUAGAUACCCCAGUAGUC
rnacentral:rRNA from 1 species